rnacentral:lncRNA from 1 species
GCUUCACACUAUCUUGAUCAAGAGUGUGUGAAUCUUUUGGCAUUUGUAGUUGAAGCUUUAUAGGUGAAGCUUUUGUGUUGAAACUUUGUAGGUGAAGCUUUUGUGUUGAAGCUUUGUAGGUGAAGCUUUGGAGUUGAAGCUUUUAUAGGUGAAACUUUGGAGUUGAAGCUUUGUGGGUGAAGCUUUGGAGUUAAAGCUUUUGUAGGUGAAGCUUUGGAGUUCAAGCUUUGUAGGUGAAGCUUUGUAGGUGAAGAUUUUGUGUUGAAACUUUGUAGGUGAAGCUUUGGAGUUCAAGCUUUUGUAGGUGAAUCUUUGGAGUUCAAGCUUUGUAGGUGAAGCUCUUGUGUUGAAGCUUUGUAGGUGAAGCUUUGGAGUUGAAGCUUUGUAGGUGAAGCUUUGGAGUUGAAGUUUUUGUAGGUGAAGUUUUGGAGUUGAAGCUUUGGAGUUGAAGCUUUGGAGUUGAAGCUUUUGUAGGUGAAGCUUUGGAGUUGAAGCUUUGUGGGUGAAACUUUGGAGUUGAAGUUUUUGUAGUGAAGCUUUGUAGUUGAAGUUUUGUAAGUGAAACUUUUGUGUUGAAGUUUUGUAGGUGAAGUUUUAGAGUUGAAGCUUUGUAGGUGAAGCUUAGAUGUUGAAGCUUUGUAGGUGAAGCUUUUGUGAUGAAGU